rnacentral:rRNA from 1 species
UGGGUCCACCUCCCACCCGUGUCUAUCGUACCUUGUUGCUUCGGCGGGCCCGCCGUUUCACGGCCGCCGGGGAGGCCUUGCGCCCCCGGGCCCGCGCCCGCCGAAGACCCCAACAUGAACGCUGUUCUGAAAGUAUGCAGUCUGAGUUGAUUAUCGUAAUCAGUUAAAACUUUCAACAACGGAUCUCUUGGUUCCGGCAUCGAUGAAGAACGCAGCGAAAUGCGAUAAGUAAUGUGAAUUGCAGAAUUCAGUGAAUCAUCGAGUCUUUGAACGCACAUUGCGCCCCCUGGUAUUCCGGGGGGCAUGCCUGUCCGAGCGUCAUUGCUGCCCUCAAGCACGGCUUGUGUGUUGGGCCCCCGUCCCCCUCUCCCGGGGGACGGGCCCGAAAGGCAGCGGCGGCACCGCGUCCGGUCCUCGAGCGUAUGGGGCUUUGUCACCUGCUCUGUAGGCCCGGCCGGCGCCAGCCACACCCAACUUUAUUUUUCUAAGGUUGACCUCGGAUCAGGUAGGGAUACCCGCUGAACUUAAGCAUAUCAAUAAGC